rnacentral:rRNA from 1 species
UACGUAGGGUGCGAGCGUUAAUCGGAAUUACUGGGCGUAAAGCGUGCGCAGGCGGUUAUAUAAGACAGUUGUGAAAUCCCCGGGCUCAACCUGGGAAUUGCAUCUGUGACUGUAUAGCUAGAGUACGGUAGAGGGGGAUGGAAUUCCGCGUGUAGCAGUGAAAUGCGUAGAUAUGCGGAGGAACACCGAGUGGACACGAGGCCAUCCCUGGACCUGUACUGAC